rfam:Clostridiales bacterium 41_12_two_minus Ley3_66761_scaffold_1720, whole genome shotgun sequence.
UCAAAUCGGUUAGCGCCCGGACCCGGUUGUCGGGUUGACGAGGAGCGAGGCUAUCGAAAUUUCGGCGGAUGCUUCGUCGUAUUGCCUUUGAUGCGCCGAAAAAGGCAAAACCGUAGGGUAACUUGCGGCACAAAUUCUUUUUCACAAAGGUAU